rnacentral:rRNA from 1 species
CGCAAUGGGCGGAAGCCUGACGCAGCAACGCCGCGUGAGGGAUGACGGCCUUCGGGUUGUAAACCUCUUUCGCGAUCGACGAAGGUCCACUUUUUGGGUGGGCUGACGGUAGGUCGAGAAGAAGCACCGGCCAACUACGUGCCAGCAGCCGCGGUAAUACGUAGGGUGCGAGCGUUGUCCGGAAUUAUUGGGCGUAAAGAGCUCGUAGGCGGUGUGUCACGUCGGCCGUGAAAACCUGGGGCUCAACUCUGGGCGUGCGGUCGAUACGGGCAUCACUAGAGUUCGGCAGGGGAGACUGGAAUUCCUGGUGUAGCGGUGAAAUGCGCAGAUAUCAGGAGGAACACCGGUGGCGAAGGCGGGUCUCUGGGCCGAUACUGACGCUGAGGAGCGAAAGCAUGGGGAGCGAACAGGAUUAGAUACCCUGGUAGUCCAUGCCGUAAACGUUGGGCGCUAGGUGUGGGGUCCAUUCCACGGGUUCCGUGCCGCAGCUAACGCAUUAAGCGCCCCGCCUGGG